UUCUCCAGCGCUGGGGGUUUAAGAGAGAAUCGGAGGGUCCCACCCAGAGACCCGUUUGCCUCAGGAAGCCGAGCUCGUCUGGAUUCCCACCAUGGCCUGGGCCCCUCUGCUCCUCGCGCUGCUCACUUACUGCUCAGGGGUCAGUUCGCAGCCCGUGGUGACUCAGGAGCCCUCGAUGUCGGUGACCCCAGGAGGGGCUGUCACUCUGUCCUGCAGCCUGAGCCCUGGAGCCAUCACCACCGGCAGCUAUCCAGCCUGGUUCCAGCAGAAACCAGGCUCUGCUCUUCGACAGCUUAUAUAUGAAACUAAUAAGAGACCCUCCGGGAUCCCUGCCCGGUUCUCUGGGUCCAUAUCCGGUAACAACGCUGCCCUGACCAUCACCGGUGUCCAGGCAGAGGAUGAGGCUGACUAUUACUGUGUUGUGUAUACGGGUAGCAGUAGUAAUACAUAUCACAGUGAUCCAGCCAGAUGGGGAACUGAGACAAAAACCUCCCCUGUCUUCUCCCCUGAUCCCCUCCAGCCUGGGCUCUGCACUGGCUGCACAGUUUGGUUCCUGCCUGCAAGAGAUGAGACACUGAUUGCUCCUCCUUAGGAAUUUCAGCCACCAGCCCUUGAAAUCAGCAGGGGGCGCUGCUCCACCCCUCCCCAUUCACUCCCUCUGAAGAAGAUG